ACAACAAGCACAGUGUUAGCAAAUGCUCAAAACAUGUUAAACCCAAAGUCUUUAUUAAGUCUUAAGCUUACCAAUACGGCCAAUUUUCAUGCCGGAACGGGCAAGAGCUCUGAGAGCAGACUGAGCACCAGGACCAGGUGUCUUGGUCUUGUUUCCACCAGUCGCACGGAGCUUCACGUGCAUAGCAGUGAUUCCAAGCUCCUUGCAUCUCUGAGCAACGUCUUGCGCAGCAAGCAUAGCUGCGUAUGGUGACGACUCGUCCCUGUCAGCUUUCACCUUCAUUCCACCUUUAAUAAAAAAACAAAGCACAAAGAUUGAAACUCAGAGACUCGUAGAUAUGUUCUUUCACAUCCAGUAAGAAACAUUUAGACAGGUCAAUAGAUUCUUACCGGUGAUACGGACAAGGGUUUCACGCCCAGACAAAUCAGUAACGUGCUGCAUAAGUGGAGACACAGCAAUGUAAGCUUCCCAUAUAAAUGACAAUGAGAUUGAGAUCUUUUUUUUUUUUUUUUUUUUUUCUAGAAAGCUUACAAUGAAAGGGUCGUUGAAUGAAGCAAAGCUGNNNNNNNNNNNNNNNNNNNNNNNNNNNNNNNNNNNNNNNNNNNNNNNNNNNNNNNNNNNNNNNNAAAAAAAAAAAAAAUUAGAAAUUAAUAAUUCAUCACCCAAACUCUUAAGUAAAAUUAUAAGGCAAACAAUCAGAGGCAAACCUGGUUGCUGUGGCCACACUUCUUCUUCCUGCAGUUGACAGCCCUUGGGUGCAGACGAGCAUAGCACCUAAACCAACACGUCACUCAACAUGAGACACGACGAAACUACUUUACCGACAAGAUCAUACUUAGAUGAACAAGAACAACUCAAGUGUUCUUACUUGCGGCAGAUCAUCUUGUCUUGAUUGUACUUACGAGCCAAAGCCAUUAGAGAGGGCUCAAUGAUACCUCCUCUAAGUCUCAGGACAAGAUGCAGAGUCGACUCUGUUUUACAACCCAAAACAAAAGGUUUCAUUUUUAGAUAAUCCCAUCCAACUAGAGAAAAACAAUCAAAGAGAAAAGUUUUUUUAACCUUUCUGGAUGUUGUAGUCAGCCAAGGUGCGACCAUCUUCGAGCUGCUUACCGGCGAAGAUCAACCUCUGCUGAUCCGGAGGGAUUCCUGAAAGCAGAGGAAUGCAAUUUAUAAGAAAUGCCAAUUUCUUUUUUAAAAAGACAAAAGCAAUUACCUCCUCCUUCUCCUUCGCCGCAAGUCUCAAAACAGAGUUGAUAGUGUAAAGAAAAAAAAUUAUUUGCUAGGCUUUUGCGUUGAAUGUUAGGAUGGGCCUUCAAUUCCAAAGCCCACUAACUUCUGGACAUAGAAGUUCAAUAAAUAAUAAUGGAGAAAAUUCAAAACUAUAAUUUUGAAGUAUUACAAUUCAUCUACCAUUAAUGAAAAAAAUGAAAAAAAAAUACAGAAAGCAAAAUCCUUAAUAAGCAAAAUAUUUUUCAAAAAAAAAUUAACGCAAAUUGCAGUAGUUACAAACAAUUAAAAUCUGCAUAAUCUGAAGUUUUAUGGUUUUGAAUCUUAAAAUAUGUGAUAAGAAAAUAUUAAAUUGUAGUUCGUGUGGAUUGAAUGUACAUUUGUUCACUGAGGAAGUUGCAAAGUUUCUCUUGGUUUUUUUUUUUUGUUCACCUCUUUCUUGGUUAUCUGAUACUUAAUUUUUUUGUGUAAUUACGAAUUUGAGGAAAUAUGGCAGUCUUAUAAAGUAACUUAUUAAGUAAAUUCGCAAAAGUCGUAGAUUAAUUAUUGUAGAAAAAUGUGGUUCAAAAGCAUUGUUCUGACAAAAUGAAACAAGCUAAAACUCAAAAAAAACAUUGCUCAGACAAAAAAGAAACAAGCCAGAAACUCAGAGCCUCCUUCCUCUUCUACCACCCUUUCGGCGGGUACUGUCUGUUGGGAUCGGAGUAACAUCCUCUGCAACAAAGAAACAACAAGCACAGUGUUAGCAAAUGCUCAAAACAUGUUAAACCCAAAGUCUUUAUUAAGUCUUAAGCUUACCAAUACGGCCAAUUUUCAUGCCGGAACGGGCAAGAGCUCUGAGAGCAGACUGAGCACCAGGACCAGGUGUCUUGGUCUUGUUUCCACCAGUCGCACGGAGCUUCACGUGCAUAGCAGUGAUUCCAAGCUCCUUGCAUCUCUGAGCAACGUCUUGCGCAGCAAGCAUAGCUGCGUAUGGUGACGACUCGUCCCUGUCAGCUUUCACCUUCAUUCCAC
rnacentral:lncRNA from 1 species